GGUGAACGCUGGCGGCGUGCCUAAUACAUGCAAGUCGAGCGAACAGACGAGGAGCUUGCUCCUCUGACGUUAGCGGCAGACGGGUGAGUAACACGUGGAUAACCUACCUAUAAGACUGGGAUAACUUCGGGAAACCGGAGCUAAUACCGGAUAAUAUAUUGAACCGCAUGGUUCAAUAGUGAAAGACGGUUUUGCUGUCACUUAUAGAUGGAUCCGCGCCGCAUUAGCUAGUUGGUAAGGUAACGGCUUACCAAGGCAACGAUGCGUAGCCGACCUGAGAGGGUGAUCGGCCACACUGGAACUGAGACACGGUCCAGACUCCUACGGGAGGCAGCAGUAGGGAAUCUUCCGCAAUGGGCGAAAGCCUGACGGAGCAACGCCGCGUGAGUGAUGAGGUCUUCGGAUCGUAAAACUCUGUUAUUAGGGAAGAACAAAUGUGUAAGUAACUAUGCACGUCUUGACGGUACCUAAUCAGAAAGCCACGGCUAACUACGUG
rnacentral:rRNA from 1 species